GUCAGGAUGGCCGUCAUUUUUAAGGUCUAAGGCGCUGCGUUCAGACUGCGUGUUCGUGGGUUCGAAUCCCACUUCAGACA